AGCAAAUAGAAAGAGUGAGAGGGAUCAUCCUCCUAUCAUUUAUGCAUUAGUUAAGGCAUAUAAGGAUAAGUCGAUUCAAUGACCUAAACUACUUCUAUUUACUUUAUGGGUUGAUAGAACUACUCACAGUACUAUCACUAAUUAUAUGCCCAUGGAGUUAAUAUUAGAACACAAACCUGUGAUACUAGUUGAAGAAACCUAUCUUACAUGGAUGUUUUUAUUUUAGAAAGAUGAU
rnacentral:lncRNA from 1 species